GUGUCAGCAGCCGCGGUAAUACGAAGGGGGCUAGCGUUGCUCGGAAUUACUGGGCGUAAAGGGAGCGUAGGCGGAUAGUUUAGUCAGAGGUGAAAGCCCAGGGCUCAACCUUGGAAUUGCCUUUGAUACUGGCUAUCUUGAGUAUGGAAGAGGUAUGUGGAACUCCGAGUGUAGAGGUGAAAUUCGUAGAUAUUCGGAAGAACACCAGUGGCGAAGGCGACAUACUGGUCCAUUACUGACGCUGAGGCUCGAAAGCGUGGGGAGCAAACAGGAUUAGAUACCCUGGUAGUCCACGCCGUAAACGAUGAGUGCUAGUUGUCGGCAUGCAUGCAUGUCGGUGACGCAGCUAACGCAUUAAGCACUCCGCCUGGGGAGUACGGUCGCAAGAUUAAA
rnacentral:rRNA from 1 species